UUUCACGCUGGCGGCAGGCCUAACACAUGCCAGUCGAGCGGAUGAAGGGAGCUUGCUCCUGGAUUCAGCGGCGGACGGGUGAGUAAUGCCUAGGAAUCUGCCUGGUAGUGGGGGAUAACGUCCGGAAACGGGCGCUAAUACCGCAUACGUCCUGAGGGAGAAAGUGGGGGAUCUUCGGACCUCACGCUAUCAGAUGAGCCUAGGUCGGAUUAGCUAGUUGGUGGGGUAAAGGCCUACCAAGGCGACGAUCCGUAACUGGUCUGAGAGGAUGAUCAGUCACACUGGAACUGAGACACGGUCCAGACUCCUACGGGAGGCAGCAGUGGGGAAUAUUGGACAAUGGGCGAAAGCCUGAUCCAGCCAUGCCGCGUGUGUGAAGAAGGUCUUCGGAUUGUAAAGCACUUUAAGUUGGGAGGAAGAGCAGUAAGUUAAUACCUUGCUGUUUUGACGUUACCAACAGAAUAAGCACCGGCUAACUUCGUG
rnacentral:rRNA from 1 species